rnacentral:ncRNA from 1 species
GAAACAGCUCUGUACAAUUCAGAACGAUGAAACAUUGUGCAGAG